UCAGCCUUGUCGGAAGUAAGCUGUGAAGAGACAAAACAACAGGAGGCAGGACAAGUACAGAACAUCGAAAUCUUGAUGUUGCCAGACUCUGUCCUGUCUGAAAUUCUUCUUCUUCUCGUGGUCCUUGAGGAGGGGGAUUCUGGAUUGUUAAAUUUGUCUUUAGUGUGUUCCAAAUUCAGAAGUCUGGUGGAUACAGACUCAUUUAGGAGGAGGGCACACUUCUGCUGGCUUGACAGUGUAACAAAUUGGAGAGAGAAGUCUGUGACAUCUCCAGAGUACUACCAGAUGUACACACUGCAGCCCUGCAGACACUGCAAAG